rnacentral:misc_RNA from 1 species
AAGGCUUGACAUACACCGACCACAAGGGGGCGACCAUCUCUGGCCGUUUCCGGUGUAUGUCAAGCCUUGGUAAGGUUCUUCGCGUUGCGUCGAAUUAAGCCACAUGCUCCGCUGCUUGUGCGGGCCCCCGUCAAUUCCUUUGAGUUUUAGCCUUGCGGCCGUACUCCCCAGGCGGGGAACUUAAUGCGUUAGCUGCGGCACCGACGACGUGGAAUGUCGCCAACACCUAGUUCCCACCGUUUACGGCGUGGACUAC